CUAGCGUUGUUCGGAAUUACUGGGCGUAAAGCGUGCGCAGGCGGCUAUGCAAGACAGAUGUGAAAUCCCCGGGCUCAACCUGGGAACUGCAUUUGUGACUGCAUGGCUGGAGUACGGCAGAGGGGGAUGGAAUUCCGCGUGUAGCAGUGAAAUGCGUAGAUAUGCGGAGGAACACCGAUGGCGAAGGCAAUCCCCUGGGCCUGUACUGACGCUCAUGCACGAAAGCGUGGGGAGCAAACAGG
rnacentral:rRNA from 1 species